UGGGGGAUAUUGCACAAUGGGCGCAAGCCUGAUGCAGCGACGCCGCGUGGGGGAUGAAGGCCUUCGGGUUGUAAACUUCUUUUGCUCUGAACAAGGCGCACUUUGGGGUGUGUUGAGUGUAGGGGUUGAUUAGCGCCGGCUAACUACGUGCCAGCAGCCGCGGUAAUACGUAGGGCGCGAGCGUUGUCCGGAAUUAUUGGGCGUAAAGGGCUUGUAGGUGGCUGGUUGCGUCUGUCGUGAAAGCUCAUGGCUUAACUGUGGGUUUGCGGUGGGUACGGGCUGGCUUGAGUGCAGUAGGGGAGGCUGGAAUUCCUGGUGUAGCGGUGGAAUGCUCAGAUAUCAGGAGGAAUACCGGUGGCGAAGGCGGGUCUCUGGGCUGUUACUGACACUGAGGAGCGAAAGCAUGGGGAGCGAACAGG
rnacentral:rRNA from 1 species